GACGAACGCUGGCGGCGUGCUUAACACAUGCAAGUCGAACGGAAAGGCCUUUUCGGAGGUACUCGAGUGGCGAACGGGUGAGUAACACGUGGGUGAUCUGCCCUGCACUCUGGGAUAAGCCUGGGAAACUGGGUCUAAUACCGGAUAGGACCGCACUUUAGUGUGUGUGGUGGAAAGAUUUUUCGAUGUAGGAUGAGCCCGCGGCCUAUCAGCUUGUUGGUGGGGUAAUGGCCUACCAAGGCGGCGACGGGUAGCCGGACUGAGAGGUUGGUCGGCCACAUUGGGACUGAGAUACGGCCCAGACUCCUACGGGAGGCAGCAGUGGGGAAUAUUGCACAAUGGGCGCAAGCCUGAUGCAGCGACGCCGCGUGGGGGAUGACGGCCUUCGGGUUGUAAACUCCUUUCGCCAGGGACGAAGCGUUUUGUGACGGUACCUGGAGAAGAAGCACCGGCUAACUACGUG
rnacentral:rRNA from 1 species